UCGUUACGCAUUAGCAAAGAGCCUCUACUCUAAAGAUUUGUGGAACUUUGAACUGCGGGACCUCCCUCCCCCACCAGCACCCCAUGCGGGACCUCCCUCCCCCACCAGCACCCCAAUGUGUGACCUCCAUCCCCCACUAGCACCCCAAUAUGGGAUUUCCCACAAAGAAAGGAGAAGAACCAAGAGUUUGGCAUUAAGCAUAAAGGUCUAAU
rnacentral:lncRNA from 1 species